GGGAUAAAGUUCAACUACGUGUAGUGUUUUGUAGGUACCGCAUGAAUAAGGACCGAGAUAAUUCCGUGCCAGCAGCCGCGGUAAUACGGAAGGUCCGGGCGUUAUCCGGAUUUAUUGGGUUUAAAGGGAGCGCAGGCCGGAGGUCAAGCGUGACGUGAAAUGUAGCCGCUCAACGGCUGAACUGCGUCGCGAACUGGCUUUCUUGAGUGAGUUCGAUGUGGGCGGAAUUCGUGGUGUAGCGGUGAAAUGCUUAGAUAUCACGAAGAACUCCGAUUGCGAAGGCAGCCCACAAGGCCUUUACUGACGCUAAAGCUCGAAGGUGCGGGUAUCGAACAGGAUUAGAUACCCUGGUAGUCCGCACGGUAAACGAUGGAUGGCCCGCUGUUUGCGAUAUACUGUGAGCGGCCAAGAGAAAUCGUUAAGCAUGCCCACCUGGGGAGUACGCCGGCAAACGGUGAAACUCAAAGGAAUUGACGGGGGCCCGCACAAGCGGAGGAACAUGUGGUUUAAUUCGAUGAUACGCGAGGAACCUUACCCGGGCUUGAACUGCAGCGGAAGGAUACAGAGAUGUUGACGCCCUUCGGGGCCGCUGUGGAGGUGCUGCAUGGUUGUCGUCAGCUCGUGCCGUGAGGUGUCGGCUUAAGUGCCAUAACGAGCGCAACCCUUUUCUUCAGUUGCCAUCAGGUGAUGCUGGGCACUCUGGAGACACUGCCACCGUAAGGUGUGAGGAAGGUGGGGAUGACGUCAAAUCAGCACGGCCCUUACGUCCGGGGCUACACACGUGUUACAAUGGGUGGUACAGAGAGUCGGUCGUCUGCAAAUGCGAUCCAAUCCUUAAAGCCAUCCUCAGUUCGGAUUGGGGUCUGCAACCCGACCCCAUGAAGCUGGAUUCGCUAGUAAUCGCGCAUCAGCCAUGGCGCGGUGAAUACGUUCCCGGGCCUUGCACACACCGCCCGUCAAG
rnacentral:rRNA from 1 species